GUAGUAGGCACUGCCCCGCCGUCCGCGCGCGCCCAGAGUGCCGGGCGUGGAGGUGUGGGGGCGCGGGGGCGCGGGGGCGCGGGGGCGCGGGGGGGCGGGGGCGGGGGGGCGCAGGGACGGGCGCGGUCAGUGCCUGAGAUCCCUGCGAUCGCUGGGAGAUGACGGUGAAGACCUGAGAUUUAGGCCUGCGCGGCGGGUGACGACGCCGGUCCGGGUCUUCACUGGAGGACGCUGGCCGGGGCCUUCAGGUGUUCUCGUGGCCUGAGGACGCGCGUCCCUGAGAAUGUGCGUGCCCGCGCCGCGCGGGUCCCACAGGAGCCUGGGCAGCCCCGCCGCCGCAUUUCCACCCUGCGGCCGUAUUUCCACCCGCUGGGCGCCAAGCCCGGGAUGACUGCACUCUAGGGCAUCACUGCGCGCUCACACUCAGCAUUCAGGCACAAGCACGUUCUCUUUAUAAACAGUUUCGAAUCUUGUCGAGUCUUUCUAGAAGGUUGAAAUGCCCUGGAGGAGCAGCGUGAAUAGUUUUUUCCAAUUAGGAAAAAAGAAUGUGGGGCGGCUGGAGGGAGAGAGGCAGGCCGAGAAGGCCAGGUGCGUCCAGGAGCCGCAGCCCCCGUGCCUCAGUUUCCUCCUAGAAACAUGGAGGUGGCGGUGCACGCUACAGGAUUUCUGUAAGAACAGAUGAGUUAACGUGUGCAAAACAUUUAAAACAGUGUCUGGUGUGUAGCAAGCAAAUAUGAGUAUUAGUCUUUUCCUUGUUAAAAUGUGUGCAUCUACAUUUGGUGCACAUUACAGGAAGUGUAUAGUAUGGAUUCAUAUUUUGGAAAAGUAAUUUUAGAAGUUAUUUCUGAUGUGCUUAUUGUAAUAGUGUUUCUUGACCACAUGCUUUUAGAUAAUGUGAAGGCAAUGAAGCAGGCAAUAUUGCUUGCACAUCCCCAAUUUAAACACCUGUCUGUCCCUCCUUCCCUCUCUCCUUUCUUUUCUUCCUUACCCUCUCUCUUUAUUCCUUCCUUCAUUCCCUUCAAGGUUGCGGAUUAUUCCAUUAUAUAAAUGUAUCAAUUUAUUAGAAUAGUUUCUAUGAUGUCUAUGAUGGGCUUUAGAUUGUUUGCAAUAGUUUGCCAUUACAAAUAAUGCCCAGUAGUGCUGUGGUUUGAUUUAACUUGUGAAGGUAUAUUUCCAAAUAAAUCGCUAUGAUUGGAUUGUUGUGUAAACCAAAAA